GACGAACGCUGGCGGCGUGCUUAACACAUGCAAGUCGAACGGAAAGGCCCUGCUUUUGUGGGGUGCUCGAGUGGCGAACGGGUGAGUAACACGUGAGUAACCUGCCCUUGACUUUGGGAUAACUUCAGGAAACUGGGGCUAAUACCGGAUAGGAGCUCCUGCUGCAUGGUGGGGGUUGGAAAGUUUCGGCGGUUGGGGAUGGACUCGCGGCUUAUCAGCUUGUUGGUGGGGUAGUGGCUUACCAAGGCUUUGACGGGUAGCCGGCCUGAGAGGGUGACCGGCCACAUUGGGACUGAGAUACGGCCCAGACUCCUACGGGAGGCAGCAGUGGGGAAUAUUGCACAAUGGGCGGAAGCCUGAUGCAGCAACGCCGCGUGCGGGAUGACGGCCUUCGGGUUGUAAACCGCUUUCGCCUGUGACGAAGCGUGAGUGACGGUAAUGGGUAAAGAAGCACCGGCUAACUACGUGCCAGCAGCCGCGGUGAUACGUAGGGUGCGAGCGUUGUCCGGAUUUAUUGGGCGUAAAGGGCUCGUAGGUGGUUGAUCGCGUCGGAAGUGUAAUCUUGGGGCUUAACCCUGAGCGUGCUUUCGAUACGGGUUGACUUGAGGAAGGUAGGGGAGAAUGGAAUUCCUGGUGGAGCGGUGGAAUGCGCAGAUAUCAGGAGGAACACCAGUGGCGAAGGCGGUUCUCUGGGCCUUUCCUGACGCUGAGGAGCGAAAGCGUGGGGAGCGAACAGGCUUAGAUACCCUGGUAGUCCACGCUGUAAACGGUGGGUACUAGGUGUGGGGUCCAUUCCACGGGUUCCGUGCCGUAGCUAACGCUUUAAGUACCCCGCCUGGGGAGUACGGCCGCAAGGCUAAAACUCAAAGGAAUUGACGGGGCCCCGCACAAGCGGCGGAGCAUGCGGAUUAAUUCGAUGCAACGCGUAGAACCUUACCUGGGUUUGACAUGGAUCGGGAGCGCUCAGAGAUGGGUGUGCCUCUUUUGGGGUCGGUUCACAGGUGGUGCAUGGCUGUCGUCAGCUCGUGUCGUGAGAUGUUGGGUUAAGUCCCGCAACGAGCGCAACCCUUGUUCACUGUUGCCAGCACGUUAUGGUGGGGACUCAGUGGAGACCGCCGGGGUCAACUCGGAGGAAGGUGGGGAUGACGUCAAGUCAUCAUGCCCCUUAUGUCCAGGGCUUCACGCAUGCUACAAUGGCUGGUACAGAGAGUGGCGAGCCUGUGAGGGUGAGCGAAUCUCGGAAAGCCGGUCUCAGUUCGGAUUGGGGUCUGCAGCUCGACCUCAUGAAGUCGGAAUCGCUAGUAAUCGCAGAUCAGCAACGCUGCGGUGAAUACGUUCCCGGG
rnacentral:rRNA from 1 species